rnacentral:lncRNA from 1 species
GCUGCGGGGGCCGUUGAUAGAGAGGCCGACCGCGCCUGGUGUGCGCAGCCAGGCCGGGCCUCCUGGAAACGCCCCUGAGAAAUGAGCUCAUGCUGGAUGCGCGCGCUUCUUGGGCGCGCCUGCCCAGCGCAAAGCGAGCCCCGAAAGCAGGUAUGGGGAAAUGCAGUCAGGCCGGAUAUCCUGAAGCCUCCGAGGAAACGGGGAGUCAGAACAGCCCAUAGCUUUUGGUCGUUUGGAACCAGGGUGAUCUAGAAAAGUACUAGUUAAGUAGGUUUCACACAUAGGCCGGUAUUCAUUGUUCUACAGAGAACCAAUUCCUUUGGUUUGCUUUAAGACUGUGAGGUAUAGUUACGCCAGGAUAGCAGAAAAAGUAGAAUGAACAGCUGCCAUCCUGACUAAUCCCGUGGUGCCUGUAAUUUCCAUGUGCAUAGUCAUCCUUUUUGUGAAGAUACUAUCUCCAGAAAGCACAUGUAAAAAUACAGUUGAUCAGCUUACCUAGCUAUUGCUUUGAAAUACUUGUGAGGGACUUGGAACAAAGUAAGCUUUGAUGGGAGACAGGAAAGUCUAGAUAGGGCUUGCAGACUCACAUGUCUACGAAGGCCAGAAAAGUAAAGCAAAUGAAUGAAAUUGGCCUUGUAUAUAUAAGACAACGGAGAAUAAUAAGAAAUGUGGCAAAUUAUUGUCCGUGGUGUAACUGAAAGGAGCAGCUGUUCAGCUCUAGCAAAUUGUUGCCUACAGGCAUGUGGGUCCAGUGUUCUGAGAUAGAUGGUUUUUUCCCAAGAGAAACCCUAAAACUGGGUUUUUGUGUGAAAUCUCUGGUUGUUGGUUUCUUGUUUUUUUUUUUAACAUUUAUUUAUGAGAGACAGCGGGAGAUGGAGGGAGACACAGAAUCCGAAGCAGGUUCCAGGCUCUGAGCUGUCAACACAGCACCCGAUGCGGGGCUCGAACUCACAAACCAUGAGAUCAUGACCUGAACCAAAGUCGUAUGUUUAACCGACUGAGCCACCCAGGCACCCCUUGAAAUCUCUGGGUUUUUAAAUGUUGGCAACCAAUAUUCAGAAAUCUGCAGGCCAAACUUAAAACAUUCAGAAGUAGACAUGGCCAACGUGCAGUACAUUUGCAAUAUCGAACCUGAACAUAGGUUUUAUAGCCCAUAGAGACUCUUGGUUUUUGCAAUUAGAGAAAUCAUGAGGUCUCUGGAUGUCACGGAAGAGGAUAAAGAAUGUUAAAAGUAAACUCAGUAUAUGGCAACUUUGUCAGGUGAAUGUUGUCUCUCCAUGCCAUUAUGAAAGACCGUUGCUUGAGCCUGGGUGGCUCAGUCAGUUAAGCAUAGGACUUCAGCUCAGGUCUUGAGUUCCAGCCCUGCACUGGACUCUGCUGACAGCGCAGAGCCUACCUGGGAUUUUCUCUCUCUGACUCUCUCUCCUUCUCUCUCUCUCUCUCGCUCUCUCUCUCUUCCAAAAAUGAACAUUUAUUAAAGAGAGAGAGAGAGAGAAAAGACCUUUGUCUCUAGUAUCUAAAGUGCUGUGAAGCAAAGCUUUAAAUCCUGCCUUCCUCUUUACUCCCUAUCCCUGCUUCCAAUUAUACCAGCAGGAAACUGGAUGACAAAAGUUCAGGUUAUACAAAUUGGAAACAUGGCUAUUCUUGUAUAUACAACAAAGCACAAAAAUAGUCAAACUUACUGCCUCCAAAUAUUUUGAACUGAUGCUGUUAAAAAAAAAGUCUGACCAGGGUGCCUGGGUAGCUCGGUUAAAUGUCUGACUCUUGAUCUCGGCUCAGGUCAUGGUCUCAGUUAGUGAAAUCGAGCCCCAAGUUGGGCUGUCUGCCAUCAGCUGCUUGGGAGUCUCUCUCUCAAAAAAAAAAUCUGACCAACAGAGGGAAAUUUUAUAGGAAAAAAAAAAAAAGUAUUUCAGUCUAGAAUUAGGGCGUAAGAAGGGAGAAGUUUAUGAGAAAAUACAGUACUGAAAUUAACAUUCAGUGAUUCUCUGAACUUUCAAACUCUUGCUUUACCUUCUCACCUGUUGUCAACCACUUAUCAGUUUAUAGUAAUUUCUUUAACUUUAUUUAUUUUGAGAGAGGGAAAGAGCAAGCAGGGGAGGGACAGAGAGAAUCACAAGCAGGCUCCACACUGCCAGNGGGCGGUGGGGAGGGGGGGCUAUCAUAAUUUUAAUAGUUGAUAUUUACUGAGUGUUUACAAUGUCCCAGACAGUGUUAUAAAGUGCUUCACACAUAUUAUCUCAAACUUAUAACACUAUGCUGUAAGUCUGCACUGACAGUGUGGAGCCUGCUUGAGAUUCUCUCUCUUCCUCUCUCUCUGCCCCUCCCCUGAUCUCUCUCUCUCAAAAUAAAUAAAAAAUAAAUUUUAAAAUAAAUGCACAAUGAACUAGCUUCUGUAGUAGUAACAAAUAUUUGUAUAGCAGUUUGCAGUUAGGAAGUACUAUCAUGUUUAUAAAGUUUAGGAAGUACUAUUAUGAAAUUACUGUUUUUACAAACGAGGAAACUAUAGAGUAAAUGACUUGCUUAAAAUCACUUAGCUGCAUUUUUAAUUGAAACUAGAAGAAAAUAUAGGCAGGUUUAAGAAUGAAGAUAGCAAAUAGAAUAUGAGAUGCAGUUUAAAUGAACCCAGAGUCAACCAUUCCAAACAGAAGCCCACAGGCAAACUCUUCAUCAUAGAACCUAAUUUAUUUAGCCAGAAUAUAGCCAACUUAAAUGUUGGGUGCUGGUCUUCAAAUUUAAAAAAAUUUUUUUUUUCAACGUUUAUUUAUUUUUGGGACAGAGAGAGACAGAGCAUGAACGGGGGAGGGGCAGAGAGAGAGGGAGACACAGAAUCGGAAGCAGGCUCCAGGCUCUGAGCUAUCAGCCCAGAGCCCGAUGCGGGGCUCGGACUCACGGACCGCGAGAUCGUGACCUGGCUGAAGUCGGACGCUUAACCGACUGCGCCACCCAGGCGCCCCAUGGUCUUCAAAUUUUAAUAAGAGAUGGUCUCUGUGCUCCGGAUACUUGCAGUCAAAUACUAUGAGAUGAACAAGAGUUGGUUAAUGAACUCUAGGAAAGCCCUCCAAUAUUAAGGUCAACGAUUAAAAGAAAGGGAAAAAUAUAUUUACAUUUAUUGAGUGACUAUUUAACUUUACCAAAAAACCCCAAGAGAUAGGUGUUAUUAGCCCUUCUUUUAAUAGGUGAAGGAAAAAAUAAGGACAUCACUCAAGGUCACAUGAUCAGUAAAUGGCAAAGCUGGGAUGGGAUCUACACCUUAGUCUCUUUCUACUAGCUCACCCUGCCUUCCAUCAAAAAAGUAACAUAAUUUAUAAAGUUAUAUGUGUGUGUGUGAUGUUCAGAAAUAUUAAUUCUGAUGGCAUUUUGGAUGACCUUUAUUGUUUCCAUGCUUUCCAGUAUUAUCUUCAUUUUCCACUUUUACAAUGUGGAAGAAAACACUUAAGAAGAAAAAACAAAGGUAGGAAUGCAGAAGAACCAAAAAAUAAAAUAAAAUAAUAAAAUAAAAUAAUAAAAUAAUAAAAAAUAAAAUAGCUCAAUUUGGGAAUUAACACAUUGAAAAGUACAGAGGGGGGCGCCUGGGUGGCAGUCGGUUAAGCGUCCGACUUCAGCCAGGUCACGAUCUCGCGGUCUGGGAGUUCAAGCCCCGCGUCAGGCUCUGGGCUGAUGGCUCAGAGCCGGGAGCCUGUUUCUGAUUCUGUGUCUCCCUCUCUCUCUGCCCCUCCCCCGUUCAUGCUCUGUCUCUCUCUGUCCCAAAAAUAAAUAAAUGUUGAAAAAAAAAAAUUAAAAAAAAAAAAAAAGUACAGAGGUACCUUAGUCAAUAACUUUUGAUAAUGUUCCACAGGAAAGUAAUCUAACAGGAAAGGUAAGUAGCAGUUGCUAGACAGGCACUUUUAGAGGGAUUCAAGGAGACAAUUUCAGGGCUGAGUAGAAAAGAGACCUAGAAAAAUAGAGCAUCUUUAGAGAGUCUGAAGCAAAAGAAGAAAUGUGCUCCUCCCUCGGUAGUAGGCUUUGACACCAAAAAGAGAUUGGUCAUUACUGACACUACCAUGUAAAUGGGUCAAUUUUAUGUCUAAGGGAGAUGAAGUGGACUAUUGACUAAAUAGGAAUCAUCAGAGGAAUUUAAUUUGGCAGCAGUAUUGAGCCAUUUUGAAAAUUAUACCCUUUUUUUAAAGUUUUUAUUUUAUACCAGUUAUUUAACAUACAGUUUAUAAUAUUAGUUUCAGGUGUACAAUAUAGUGAUUCAACACUUCCAUACAAUACCCCAGCACUAAUCACAAGUGCACACCUUAAUCCCCAUCACCUAUUUAACCCAUCCCCCCACCCACCUCCCCUCUGGUAAUCAUCACUUUAUUCUCUGUAAUAAGAGUCUGUUUCUUGGUAUACCUCUUUCUCUCUCUUUUUCCCCUUUGCUCAUUUGCUUUCUUUCUUGAUUCCACAUAUAAGCAAAAUCAUACAAUAUUUAUCUUUCUCUGACUUAUUUUGCUUAGCAUAAUACUCUGUAGCUCCAUCCAUAUCAUUGUAAUUGGCAAGAUUUCAUUCUUUUUUAUGGCUGAAUAAUAUUCCAUUAUAUAUAUACAUCUUUAUCCAUUCAUCAGUCAAUGGACAUUUGGGCUGUUUUUGUAAUUUGGCUAUUAAAGAUAAUGUUGCUAUAUCAUCAGGGUGCAUGUAUCCCUUUGAAUUAGUAUUUUUGCAUUCUUUGGGUAAAUACCUAGUAGAGCAAUUACUGGAUUGGAUUGUAGGGUAGUUCUAUUUUUAACUUUUUGAGGAAACUCCAUACUGUUUUCCAGAAUGGCUGCACCAGUUUGCAUUCCCACCAACAAUGCAAGAGUGUUCCCCUAUCUCCACUCUUUGCCAGCACUUGUUUCCUGUGUUGUUGAUUUUAGCUAUUCUAAGAGGUGUGAAGUGAUAUUACAGUUUUGAUUUACCCUUCCCUGAUGAUGAGUGAUGUUGAGCAUCUUUUCAUGUGUCUGUUGGCUAUCUGUAUGUCUUCUUUGGAAAAGUGUCUAUUUAUGUCUUCUGCCCAUUUUCAAAUUGUAUUAUUCAUUUUUUGUGUAUUGAAUUUGAUAAGUUCUUUAUAGAUUUUGGAUACUAAUCCUUAAUCAGAUAUGUCAUUUGCAAAUAUCUUCUCCCAUUCUGUAGGUUGCCUUUUAGUUUUAUUGAUUGUUUCCUUUGCUGUGCAAAAGCUUUUUAUUUUGAUGAAGUCCCAAUAGUUCAUUUUUGCUUUUGUUUCCCUUUGCCUCAGGAGACAUAGCUAGAAAGAAGAUGCUACAGCCAGUGUCAAAGAGGUUACUGCCUAUGUUCUCUUCUAGGAUUUUUAUGGUUUCAGGUCUCACAUUUAGGCCUUUAAUCCAUUUUGAAUUUAUGUAUGUAUAAGACAACAUGUUGCUGUCCAGUUUUCCCAACACCAUUUGUUGAAAAGACUGUCUUUUUCCCAUUGGAUAUUUUUUCUUGAUUUGUCAAAGAUUAAUUGACCAUAUAGUUGUAGGUUCAUUUCUGGGUUUUCUAUUCUGUUCCUCUGACCUAUGGGUCUAUUUUUGUGCCAGUACCAUAAUGUUUUGAUCACUACAGCUCUUUUUUAAAUGUUUAUUUAUUUAUUUUGAAAGAGAGAGAGGGAAUGCAUGGGGGAGGGGCAGAGACAGAGGGCAAGAGAAUCCCAAAUAGGCUCUGCACUAUCAGCAACAGAGCCCAGUGUGAAGCUUGAUCUCAUGGAACCAUGAGAUGAUGACCUGAGAAAUCAAGAGCCAGACUUCAAGUUAGGAAUUAUGAAUUGAGGUCCAGAAUUGUGAUGCCCCCAGCUUGCUUUUCUUUUUCAAGAUUGCUUUGGCUGUUCGAGGUCUUCUGUGGUUCCAUACACAUAUUCGGAUUGUUUAUUCUAGCUCUGUGAAAAAUGCUGGUAGUAUUUUGAUAGAGAUUGCAUUAAAUGUGUAAAUUGCUUUGGGUAGUAUAGACAUUUCAAGAAUAUUUGUUCUUUCAAUCUAUGAGUGGGGAAUGUUUUUCCAUUUCUUUGUGUCAUCUUCAAUUUUUUUCUUCAGUGAUUUAUAGUUUUCAGAGUACAGGUCUUUCACCUCUUCGGUUAGGUUUAUACAUAGGUAUCUUACUGUUUUUGGUGCAGUUGUAAAGGAUUGAUUCCUAAAUUUCUCUUUCUGCUAUUUCAUUAUUGGUAUACAGAAAUACAAUGAAUUUCUAUACAUUGAUUUUAUACCCUGUAACUUUACUGAAUUUAUCAAUUCUAGCAGUUUUUUAGUGGAAACUUUCAGGUUUUCUGUAGAUAGUAUCAUGUCAUCUACAAAUACCGAAAGUUUGAUUUCUUCCUUGCCAAUUUGAAUGCCUUUUAUUUCUUUUUGUUGUCUGAUUGCUAAGGCUAGGACUUCCAGUACUAUGUUAAAUAAAAGUGGAAAGAGUGGACAUCCUGCCCUGUUCCUGACUAUAAAAGAAAAGCUCAGUUUUUCCCCAUUUAGGACAUUAACUGGGUUUUUCAUAUAUGGUCUUUAUUGUGUUGAGGUAUGUUCCCUUUCAACCUACGUUAUUGAGAGUUUUUAUCAUGAAUGGAGGUGGUACUUUGUCAAAUGCUUUUUCUUCAUCUGUUGAAAUGAUACGGUUCUUAUCCUUUGUUUUACUAAUGUGAUGUAUCAUAUUGAUUGAUUUGUGAGUAUUGAACCACACUUGCAACACAGGAAUAAAUCCCAUUUGAUCAUGGUGAGUGAUUUUUUUUUAAUGUAUUGUUGGAUUUAGUUUGCUAGUAUUUUAUUGAGAAUUUUUACAUCCAUGUUCAUCAGGGAUAUUGGCCUGUAGUUCUUGGUUUUUAUUGGAGUCUUUAUCUGGUUUUGGUAUCAGGGUAAUGCUGGCCUCACAGAAUGAAUUUGGAACUUUUCCUUCCUUUUCUAUUUUUUGCAAAAGUUUGAGAGGAAUUAGUAUUAACUCUUCUUCAAAUGUUUGGUAGAAUUCACCUCUGAAGCCACCUGGUCCUGUUUUGAUUACUGAUUCAAUUUCUCUGCUGGUUAUUGGUCUGCUCAAGUUUUCUAUUUCCUCCUGUUUCAGUUUUGGUGGUUUAUAUAUCUCUAGAAAUUUAUGCAUUUCUUCCAGGUUGUCCAAUUUGUUGGCAUAUAGUUUUUCAUAAUAGUCUCUUAUAAUUGUUUGCAUUUCUGUGAUGUUGGUUGUUAUUCCUCCUUCUCAUUUGUGAUUUUAUUUAUUUGGCUCCUUUCUCUUUUCUUUUUGACAAGUCUGGCUAGAGGUUUAUCAAUUUGAUUAUUUUUUGUCAAAGAACCAGCUCCUGGUUUCUUUGAUCUAUUGAUUUUUUAGUUUCUAUAUCAUUUAUUUCUGCCCUAAUCUUUAUUAUUUCCUUCCUUCUGAUGACUUUAGACUUCAUUUUUUCUCCCUAACUUCUUUAGAUGUAAGGUUAGGUUGUCUAUUUGAGAUUUUUCUUGCUUCUUGAGGUAGACCUAUAUUGCUAUAUAUUUCCCUCUUAAGACCACUUUUGCUGCAUCCCAAAGGUUUUGAACUGUUGUGUCUUCAUUUUCAUUUCUUUCCAUGUACUUUUUAAAAUUUCUUCUUUGAUUUCCUGGUUGACUCAGUAAUUAUUUAGUAGCAUGUUCUUUAACCUCCAUGUAUUUGUGGUCUUUCCAGAUUUUUUUCUUGUGGUUGACUUCUAGUUUCAUAGCAUUGUGGUCAGAAAAGUUGCAUGGUAUGAUUUCAGUAUUUUUUGUUGUUGUUGUUGAGGCCUGUUUUGUGACCCAAUAUGUGAUCCAUUCUGGAGAAUGUUCAAUGUGCACUUGAAAAGAAUGUGUAUUCUGCUGUUUUAGGGAUGGAAUGUUCUGCAUAUAUCUGUGAAGUCCAUCUGGUCCAGUGUGUCAUUCAAAGCCAUUUUUUCCUUGUUUUUUUCUGUUUACAUGAUCCGUCCAUUGAUGUAAGUGGGGUGUUAAAGUCCUCUAGUAUUAUCAAUUCAUUCCUUUAGGUUUGUUAUUGAUUGUUUUUAUAUUUGGGUGCUUUCAUAUUGGGUGCAUAAAUAUCUACAAUUGAAUUGUUCCCCUUUAUGAUUAUAUAGUGCCCUCUUUAUCUUUUGUUAGAGUUUUUGUUUUAAAGUCUAGUUUGUCCAAUAUAAAUAUUGCUACUCCAGGUUUCUUUUGACAUCCAUUUGCAUGAUAAAUGUUUCUCCAUUCCUUUACUUCCCAUCCGUAGGUAUCCUUAGCUGUAAAAGUAAGGCUCCUGUAGGCAGCACAUAGAUGGGUGUUUGUUUGUUUGUUUGUUUGUUUGUUUUUAUCCAUUCUAACACCCUACGUCUUUUGACUGGCAUGUUUAGUCCCUUUACAGUCAAAGUAAUUAUUGACAGAUAUGUAUUUAUUGCCAUUUUAUUACUUAUUUUGUCAUGGUUUCUGGUUAUUUUCUGAUCCACUCUUUUCUUUGUCACUUUUGGUCUCUCCUUUCCACUCAAAGAAUCCCCUUUAAUGAAAAUUUUACCCUUUGAUCAACAAUAAAUUUAAAUCAUCUGAGACACCACGGUAGGUGUUUGGACCACAUAAGCCUUUAUAUAGUAGUUGAAAUUUUUCUCUAUUUACUGAUGAGAAAACUGAGGAACAAGAGAUUAAGUGACUUUUCAGUCAUAUUUGACUUUUAACUAUAUUGACCCUCACAGGUUGAAGUGAUUCCUACAGAUAUAUAUAGAUGACAGAUUUUACCAGCAGUGCAAGAGUAAGUGAAUGAACAAAAUAGCAAAGUUGACAUUUUCCUACUCUUGGUAGAAACGCCUCCUCAUUCACAUUGUUAGGUGAAAAUAAUGAGCUAAUCAAAUUUGACAAGAAAUUGGCCUGAAAUUUUGAAAUUCUUGAGAAAAAUUUUGCAAAUACCAAGUUACCAUCCACUAUUGGUAAAGUCAACGCUUACCCUAAGUUUAAAUAUGAUUGAGGGGCACCUGGGUGGCUCAGUCAAUUAAGCUUCAGACUUCAGCUGAGGUCACGAUCUCGUGGUUCACGAGUUCGAGCCCCAUGUCAGGCUCUGUGCUGACAGCUCAGAGCCUGGAGCCUGCUUCAGAUUCUGUGUCUCCCUCUCUUUCUACCCCUCUUCCAUUCAUGCUCUGUCUCUAUCUCUCAAAAAUAAAUAUUUAAAAAAUUAUAUGUUUAAAUAUUGUUUAUUAUACCUUAUCCUUUUUUAUUCUUGUAUGUGUCUUAUAUGUGCAUAUCACAUUAGGUCAAGAAUAUAUGUUUUGUAAAUAUGCAGAUUAUAUUGGAGCUGAUAUUAACAUUUUUUUUACUAGUAGGAUAUAGGAUCAUAAAAGUUUCUAGACCACUAUUUUAAACAAAGGUCAGGUUUCCAGAUGGGUAAAGGGAAGAACAUUCCAGGCAAAGAGAAGAGGUUAUUCAAUGCCAGAAAUGUAUGUAAUGAGGUAUUCAGAGAGCUGGAGGUAGUUUGAAAUUAUGCAUAUAGGAUUAGCAUAUAAGGGGUGCCUGGAUAGCUCAGUCAGUUAAACAUCUGCAUCUUGAUUUCAGCUCAGGUCUUGAUCUUAGGGUAGUGAGUUCAAGCCCUGCAUUGGGCUCUGCACUGGGUGUGAAGCCAACUUAAAAAAAAAAAAAAAAAAAAUUGGAGCACCUGGGUGGUCCAGUUGGUUAAGCGACCUGUUUUGGCUCAGGUCAUGAUCUUACCGUUCCUGAGUUUGAGCCCCACAUUGGGCUCUGCGUUGACAGUGCAGAGCCUGCUUGGGAUUUUUUCUCUCUGCCUCUUUCUCAGCCCCUCCUACGUCUCUUUCUCUCUCAAAAUAAAUAAGUAAACUUAAAAAAUUAAUAAAAUUUUUUAAGAAUAUUACCAUAUAAGAUACAGACUUAGAGAAAACAUGGGAAAACAAUAAUCAGAUAAUAGAAGUGUAGUUAGGUAAACUAUAUUAUGUCCAUAUUAUGCAGCCAGUAAAAAUGUAAAGACUAAAAGCAACUCAGAAACAAUACUAAUUGAAAAAUAUAGGACUUCACAUUAUAUGUUACCAUAUUUCCAAUUCUGCAAAAUAUAUAUACAUUCAGAUCAAGACUGAAAAGGAAGACAGAAAUUACAAUGAUUCUGUUAACAUAUCAGCAUAUUUAAUUAUAGAUGAAAAUAUUAGCUUUAAAUGUUUUCAUUUAAUAUUUAUACAAUAAAUCUGAUAUUAAAGGAAAUUUGCCUCCAGACUAAUUUCUUCACUGUGAUUCACAUAUUCCUCAGAAAGCCUCUCUAGGGUGCCUGGGUGGCUCAGUGCAUUGAGCCUCCGACUCUUGAUUUUGGUUCAGGCCAUGAUCCCAGGGUCAUGGGCUCAAGCACUGAUUGGGGUUCUGUGCUGAGCACGGAGCCUGCUUGAGAUUCCUUCUCUCCCUCUGCUCCUCUCCCCAACUCGUGCCCAAUCUCUCUCUCUCUCUCUCUUAAAAAAAAAAGGAGUGGGUUGCGCCUGGGUGGCUCAGUUGGUUGAGCUUCCUUCCAAGCUUCAGCUCAGGUCGUGAUCUCACAGCGGGUGAGUUCAAGGCCCACCUCAGGCUCUGUGCUGACAGCUCAGGGCCUGGAGCCUGCUUCGGAUUCUGUGUCCCCCUCUCUCUGCCCCUCUCCCCCUCACACUCUGUCUCACUCUCAAAAUAAAUAAAAAACAUUUAAAAAAAAUUUUUUUAAGCCUCUACAUGGAAUUCCUCAGCAACACUAUCCACCACUAACAUUUUUAUUGAUAAUCCUUUGUAAUGUGACUUAAAUUAAUAAGUCUAGUCAGUAUCUACUGAGUACAUACUAUAUGCAAGACAUUUGUUAGAUACCUGAUAUAAAGAGGUAUAUUAGCUACAUGAGUGGCUCUGUGCCCUUGGGGAGCUUAUCUUAUAGGGAAACAAACACAUGGUAAGUUAAAUAAUUAUUUAAAAUCACAAUUUGAACCCAUAAAAAACUUACAAGCCAGAACACAAUUUGCUCAAAUGAAUUUUCAUGCUGUCCUAUUUAUAAUGAGUGGAAAACACUUCAGUCUAAAGUGGAUCUUAAAGGAUAAGUACUAGGAUUUGGAGAUGAAGAAAGGAGAG